rnacentral:rRNA from 1 species
AACGAACGCUGGCGGCAUGCCUAACACAUGCAAGUCGAACGAGACCUUCUGGUCUAGUGGCGCGCGGGUGCGUAACGCGUGGGAACCUGCCCUUAGGUUGGGAAUAACUCCCCGAAAGGGGUGCUAAUACCGGAUAAUGUCUUCGGACCAAAGAUGUAUCGCCUUUGGAUGGGCCCGCGUUGGAUUAGCUAGUUGGUAGGGUAAAAGCCUACCAAGGCGACGAGCCAUAGCUGGUCUGAGAGGAAGAUCAGCCACACUGGGACUGAGACACGGCACAGACUCAUACGGGAGGAAGCAGUGGGGAAUAUUGGAAAAUGGGCGAAAGCCUGAUCCAGCAAUGCCGCGUGAGUGAUGAAGGCCUUAGGGUUGUACAGCUCUUUUACCCGGGAUGAUAAUGACAGUACCGGGAGAAUAAGCACCGGCUAACUCCGUG